UUUUUUUUUUUUUUUUCUGUAUUUAUUAUUAUUUUUUAACUUUCUUGACUUAAUCUGUUUGCCACCCUGCCCCAUUGGGCCUCCAACCAGCCUAAGCUAGUUCUCUUGCAAACUGCAGCCUUAGAGGGUACCUCUAUUGCCCAAUGUGCGAUUGAUUUUUACACUAUGCAAAAUCAAUCCUGGGCAUGCAAUUUCUCUGGUGGCUCAGCCUCAGAGAGAACAUUUCCUUGGCAGGUUGUAGGAUCACAAAGGGCAGGAGCACACGGGCUGAGCACUGAUAAAGCUUGCCAGCAGCCAGAGCUGGAGAUGCAGGGGGAUUGGGAUGGAGAACUGACCAGAGAAAGGAAUUAAAUGGAACCUCUUCUUCCCAACAGUGGAACAUUUUGGGGCUCAGCUAAUCCUGAGUCAAAAUAGCCAGGGUAGGGCUUGUACUCCUAAAGGAGAAGUGGCUGGGUUAAUAAGGCUUUCAGGUUUCCUCAUGCCAAGUCUGCUAUGUGCAGACUUCUGCAAGCAUCAAUUAUAAAAGCAUAAACCUUUCUGGAAUGGAGAAAGGGCAUUUAGUUCAUGGUGCUUGCUGGGGUCUGAGGGAUGUUCAUCUGCCCCCCAAAUCUUCCAAGUACUAUACUACUUUCCUCGCCUAGCCACUCUCCCAUGCCUCCAAAACUCCUCUGGCUUUGCUUUAAUGAGCAGCCUCUGUUUAUUAACGGUUUGGCCAAAAAGAACAGCAGAAAUGUGCACCCCAAUAUGCCUCAUUACAAACUGCAGAAGGUUAGUUUCCAACUAAAAAAAAAAAAGUACAUAUGGCAUGGAAUCUUGCAGAAAAUCUAUUUUCUCCUAAAAAAAGGGGGAGCUAACCUCUUGCUGUCCUGGGCAGUGCAAUAUUGGGGCUCCAGGUAUACAUUCUUGGGGCACAUUCUUAAAGUGACUAAAUCUGUUUCUUGAUCAAUAGCUUGGGAUUAUUUCCCAGGAAAUGGCAUUUACUGUGACCAUUCAUGAGUCAGGAUCCCUGCCUGGUUUGGAUUUACAGUGUGCUGGACACUGUGCAAGGAAUGUUACAUGCUUUAGUUCACCCUCUUAAGGAGCCCAUAAGAUGGGAGUUACUACUAUCCUCCACAUUUUGCAAACAAGGAGACUGAGGCAUACAGAGUUAUGGAGAUUUCUAGGAUCACAGGGCAGUGGAGCUGAGAGUCAAGCCUGGGCAGUCUGGUGUCCUCAUUCUUAACCAGUAAUUCCUUUAUUUUUACUUUUUCCAUUUUUCCUUCUAGUCCCCUACCUUUCCCUUUGUUCUCUUACAUUGCCCCUCUUUCCUAUCAUCAGAUCUCUUCCUUAGGCUUGUGCCUGUUUUUUAGCUCCUACAUGGUCUGACUGAUCGUUUUAUAGAUCUCCCCUCACAAUGCCCUGGCCCCUCAGCUCCCCUACACAACCUGGAUUACUUGACCAGAAUGGUCCCCAUAAAAAGAACUAGUGACCAUGCCAUGCCUUCUUUUUGCAGAAUCUAGUGCUUUCUCCAGGUCCCUUCCUUCCUUACCUUUUAAGGUAACUGCAACUUUCUUCUUGAAAUUCCCUCUUUUAUAUUUUGACACGAUAGUACCCUACAUUUCUUCCUCUUUACAUGGUUACCAAUCCAUCCAUCCAUCAUCCAUCCAUCCAUCAUUCAACCAUCCAUAUAUGCAUACACACAUAUGGUUCACUUAAUAAUUAUCUGAACUCAGAUUCUCUGUGACCUUGGAUAAGUGCCUUUACUUUUCUGAUCUUCUCUAACCUCACUUGUAAAACAGAAAUACUAAGAACAUAGUUUAUAAGACUGUUAUUAGGUUUAGAUGAGAUAGCAGAUGUAAAUAAACCUGUCUCGGGAUCCCUGAGUAGCUCAGCAGUUUAGCGCCUGCCUUCUGCCCAGAGUGUGAUCCUGGAGUCUCGGGAUCAAGUCUCACAUUGGGCUCCCUGCAUGGAGCCUGCUUCUCUUUCUGUCUGUGUCUCUGCCUCUCUCUCUCUCUCUCUCUCUCUCUGUCUUUCAUGAAUAAAUAAAUAAAACCUUUAAAAAAAAAAAACCCUGUCUCAAUGAGGUGCUCAAUAUAUGUUUAUUAUUCCAUUGCGAAUUUUCUUUUUUAGAUGAAAUUGCAUUUGUUUUACUAAUGAGAUAUACCCAAAAUGAUUUUUAUCACACAUCGUGCAAUGCAACUUUAGGCAAGGGAAAUAAUGUCAGAGUAAUCCCUGUAUCAGUCAGAAUCAUUGGUAAAGCACUCUUAAAGUCAAAUCUUGAGAUCAUUUCUAGCAUUUUUCCCUUUCUUCCCCAUCAUUCCAUUAACCAUGAUGCCUCUAAUACUGGCCCCUUUCUUUCCACAUUCCCUGUGACCUUUAUUUACUCACAAACUCAACUUCUUACCUUGGGUCUUCCCCAACCCAAUCCAUCUUCCACACCACCCACAGGUUAAUUUUUCUGAAAUACUAUUUUUCAUUCCCUUCUUCAAAACUUCUGCUGGAUCUCCACAACCUAUUUUUGAGAAGUUUUUUUUUUUUCUUCUUUCACUUUUUCAUAUUUACUGUAUUUUUUCAUUGUAAAUGCAAUACAUGCACAUCAAUGAAGAUUUGUAAACUAGAGGAAAAGAAAUAACUCACAAGCCCAUUACAUGAACAAAACCACAGUUAGGAUUUUGAUAAAUUUCCUUUCAGGUGUCAGCCCCCAUUCCCAUAAAUACAGAGGCUUUUUUUUUUUUUUUUUUUUGCUUAGUAGGAAUUGUACUCCAUACAGUCUCCUGUUCUGUAUCAUUUCUCACUUAGGUGAUUUCUCCACGCCAUUGCUGUCUUCAUAAAUGCCCUCUUCGAUGCCUGUGUAAUAUUCCAUUGAAUUACUUAGCCAGUUGCCAUUUGCUAGAAUUUAGCUUAUUUGUUGAGCACUUAGGAGAGCCAAGCACAUAGCAAACACUCAAUACAUGUUGACUAUUGUUAUUGUCCUCAAUUCGGGCUAUCACACAUAAUGCAGAGAAGUAUGUCUGUGCCUUUUUUUAUACCUAUCUCUGUUUCUUUAACUUCUCAGAUGUAGAUUCCUGGCCCAAAGGGCAUCACUGUUUGUAUGCCUUUUGAUACUGAUUACAGCACCUGCUGCGUGCUUCCCACCUACCUUCCAAGCCCAUAUCCUCUGGCCUUCCCCUUAGAGGGCUGGCCCCACUUCCAGCUAAAAAACUCCACACCUCUAAGCUGAUGGUUUUCUCUGAGACCCGAGUCCAUACCUAGAAGUCCAGUAGUGCUCAAAGUCAAUGCCACCUGGAACAGCCCCAAAACAAUGCCCACCCAUAUUUGUGGCAUAAAGUCUGGAGCUCCCAU
rnacentral:lncRNA from 1 species